UUCUGCCUGUUAAUGGAUCGUGAAUUAUUUUACUAUCUGCUUGCCAGAAGAAUACCAGCUGAUAAGCAAAAUAUUUUUUAAAGAAAUCCAGUGUACCAAAAAAGAAAACAGCCUACUCAGGAGCUGCAGCUCUCACUUAAAAUGAGAGCUGAUAGGAGAAAUAUAGGAAUGGUACCACCUCUUCAAACCUGCAAGUUCAAAAUGCUUUUAGAUAUGUGGCUGUACAAUUCCUCCUGUUGAUUCUCCGUCGAUUGUAAACCUCAUAAUCCGUGUCUCUGCUCCCCAAGCUUUUCUUCUUCCUUUUUUUUUUUCUUUUUUUCUUUUCUAUUGAAAUCAGUGGGAGACUAAGUGCAGAAUCUGGUCCCUAAAUCUGCUCCAUCACGUUGCCAAGUAACAAGAGAAGGAAUAUGGUUUGUUUUCCAUGGAGGGCAGGAAGGAUCAAAGUGCUUGUGUGAAGGAUCACAGGUGAAAGGCUAACUAUGCGAUCUGCUCCCUUGAGGCUUUGGAUUCAAGCAAGCACAGACCAACACCUUCAAUAAAGGGAUCAGUGAAUAUAAGGACAGUGGUUAUGAACAAAUCGCAGAAUAGCUGACAUUUGAAGAGACCUCCUGAAAUCAUCUGCUCCAACUCCCUGCUCAAGUAGGGAUGCCUGCAGCAUGUUGCCAAGGAUCAUGUCCUGUUGGCUCUUGAAGGACUACAGGGAAGGAGAUUCCAACAACUUCUCUGGACAUCAUAACCUCUAUGGACAAAUCAAAUUAUCAGAGUGACCUUGGAUGGGAAAACUAAGGGAAAAUCAGGUUGUUGGUCAGAUGGGACCCAAGACACAAGACACAAUGAUUUUAUGGCAUUCUAUGUAGAAGUGUACUGUUCCACAUAAAUGGGUGAGGAAGUGUUUCAUACAUGGUUAAAGGAAAACUCUUUCCUCAUGAGCAGGGACAGAAAUGGGUGGCUCCAAAGGCUGGAGUUCCCAAGGUUAUUUUUUCAGAUGAUAUAGUGUAUUUAUUAAGUCAGUUAUUUAUCAAAUGGUAAAUUCAUUUCAUGUGGAAUGUUGGUUGCUAUGUUUUCAUUUAUAAACUUGCCAAAAUGUAGUUGAAUACAUUCAUAUUCAGAUUUUUUUUUUAAUUUAUUUUCUAGUAGAUUGUUUGCAAAUAUUCCAGUUCUUUUCUAUGAUGUUCAUUCUUGUAACAGCAAACUCACUAACAGUUUAAGGCAAGAUGGAGAGGUGGCCUGUAUAUUGUUGCAAUAAGAAAAUAACUAGGGAAUUUUUUUCCUUGUGUCAGAAAGUAAUUCUGCUGGAUUUUACAUUAUUAAAACAAACAUCACUUAUCACUGUAGAAAUAUGAAAGAAAUACUUCUCCUUCCUCCAUACUCCUUUUGUCCCACCCUAACUCAUUCUGAGUGAAUCUUGCCAUUCACAGAGUUCAUGUCCUGUACCUGAAUGCUCCUGCUGAAUAGAAUAAUUAGUUUCAUAGGCAUUGCUGAUUAAGCUAAAUACUUAUAACACUUUGCAUAAUACCCAGACAUAGAAAAAAGAAAAUUAGCAGUGAACUCCUUUCUAUGAGUUCAGUUGUUUUACAUGAUCCAGCUAGUAAGAAGAAGGUUUAAAUGCAGUUGCCAUAGCAACAGGGCAAUAUAAAUUUUAUGAAAUGCAACUACAAUAUUAUAAUGAUGGAGCAAUUUUCAUGCCCUUUGAUUUUUUUAUUUAGUUGAGAGCCACCUGCAGAAAGGGAAAUUCCAAUUAGAAGUAAAUAUUUGAGCUCUCACCUCUCUGAGGAAGCAUACCCAUACAUACAGGGAUGCAUUAAUAACUGAGAAAUGCAAGUAUUUAGCAGGAGGAAUAACAUUAAAAGCUAAGAAAGUCCAUUGUUCUUAGAGAGUUGAGAAAGUACUUAGAAAGAAUAAAAUUUGAUUCCAUGUCUGCGCUGACUCACCCAUAUCAAAAAUCAUAGAAUGAUCUGGACUAGAAGGGUUCUGAAAGGCCAUCUCAUUCCAACCCCCUGCCAUGGGCAGGGACACCAAGGCUAGACCAAGCUGAUUGAAGUUUCAUCCAACCUGGCCUUGAAUACCUCCAUGGAUGGGGCAUCCACGCCUUCUCUAGGCAGACUGUGCCAGUGCCUCAUCAUCUCCUGAUUAAGGAUUUUCUCCCACCAUCUAAUCUAAAUCUCCCCUCUUUUAGUUUAGAACCAGUCUUCCUUGUCUAUCCCUUGAAUACCUCCAUGGAUGGGGCAUCCACGCCUUCUCUAGGCAGACUGUGCCAGUGCCUCAUCAUCUCCUGAUUAAGGAUUUUCCUCCCACCAUCUAAUCUAAAUCUCCCCUCUUUUAGUUUAGAACCAGUCUUCCUUGUCUAUCCUUGAAUACCUCCAUGGAUGGGGCAUCCACACCUUCUCUAGGCAGACUGUGCCAGUGCCUCAUCAUCUCCUGAUUAAGGAUUUUCCUCCCACCAUCUAAUCUAAAUCUCCCCUCUUUUAGUUUAGAACCAAUCUUCCUUGUCUAUCAUCACCCUGUUGCAUAUAAAGUCCAGUUAUUCCCUGCUGCACAGAGAGGUGAGAAAAUGUAGGCAGAAAGGAGAUGGAGAUCACUGGAGCACAUCUAUUGGUUGUAGAAACAAGCUGGCUGAUAAGACAGUGCUAGUGGUGAGAGUAUGCAUGCACACAUACAUUUAUGAGCACAAUCUGAGUGGCAGCAUUUGGGCACCAUGAAGCUGGGUAUCCAGAGACACUGAACUCACUUCAUUGAAUAGAUCAGGACAGGUCUGUGCUCUCCUUUAGCUAUAAAUACAAAUCAGUUUUCCUGGAAGGUCAUAGUGGAACUGUAAUUAUGUGAUUAAGCAAAUUCUUCCACUAUCCAAUCAGGUUGUGGGUUCAUUAUUUCCAUUACCCAUUUUAUACUGAAAUGGAAGGUGCAAAAUUAUCUACUGAUAUCAACAAAGAACAUGCUACUGUAGUCAACUAAACUACAGAAACUUAAAUUAGGUUCUAACCUAUUCACUAUAUUCUAUAUUAUAGUAGAAAAACUUGAUUAGAGGAGGAGAAAACAUAUAGAAAUAAACGAAAAAGUAAAAGAUCUAAAUUUGUAUGGUAGCUUCUGUUAUAUGACUGAACAGAAGGCUUUGAUUUCCAACUCCGUGCCACUCAGGAGGCAGGUUGGUACUUAGAAUCAUAGAAUCUUUAGAGUUGAAAGGGACCUUUAAAGGCUAUCUAGUCCAACUCCCCUGCAAUGAACACCACAGCUAGAUCAGGUUGCCCAGGGCCUGAUGCAGCCUCACCUUGAAAGUCUUCAGGGACAGGGCAUGAACUACAUCUCUAGACAACCUGUUCCAGCGCCACAUCAUCCUCACUGUAAAAGACUUCUUUCUUGUAUCCAACCUAAAUCUACCUUCUUUAAGCUUGAAUUCAACUUUGCAAUUGAAUCUUCAGUUUUUUCAAUUGAUUCAACUUAGUGAAUCAAAACCAAUUUUUUUUUUCUUUUUUUCUUCUUACUCAUCACAUAAUGAGUUAGAACUUGAUUUAGAGAUAUGUUAAAAGACUUUCUCUGAUUUUGAUGAUGCCAUUGCCUCCAGAGGAUUUAUGCUGCAGCUGGUAUUCACUAGUUGCUUAGUCACCUACGUAGCAUGCCAGGAAAUAUGGGUACAUGGAUACUCAUAGGACAGAUGACGCCAGCAAAAUGUUCUUGUGAAAUCCCCAUAUGCUAAAUGAUUCUCCCGUGGCAAGCUAUUUUGGAUUUAGGGCCAGCUUAUGAAAUGAAUGUGACAGAAGCAACAAGGAACGAGAAAGAAAAUAUAAUACAAUUGGAUGAAAACCAAUAAAUAACAAGGGAUAGUCUUUAGAAAAAUAAACUCAACUUGUGUUUGCUCCAUCAGUAGUUAGUAUAGAUGCUGGCAUCCUGCUGAGGUCUUAAAAAAAUUCCCCACUACAGUUAUUUUGCAUUGCAAUAUCACCAGUCACUUGCACAUAUUAACAGUUUUUUACCCCGAGCCUAGUGGCAAUGAGGGGAAAUCAGCACCUUAACUGAUAGAUGAGCAUAUGAUAUGGGAUAUAUUGCUUGUAACUAUGAGUGGCAUGAUAUUACAAAGGCAUUUAGAUAAUUAACUCUUGCUGUUGAGAAUACCUACUAGUGUGGAUUUGGGCCUUUUUAUAGGAUUUCAACUGUAGAUUAGGGCCCAAAGAGUGUAACACACAAAGAAAAGUGUGUUACACUCACUCAGAAAAUUACAUUAUUAUCCAUUUUAUUAUUUCAAAGACAGCUCAGAAGAAAAUGUUGGAAAGGUCACAGCCAACCAAGCCAAAGUUCAUGUAUUCCACUAUCUUGCUUCUCACAUGGACAGUAAAAAUAAUUCAAGACUUACAACUAUAUGUUCAAAUACAAAGCCACUCUAUAUACGAGCUGUGGACAAAUUCCACGGAUCUGGCAGGUAUGAUUUAGGACCUAUUUGGAGACCCAUUCUCUCCAGAAGGAAUAGCUGGGUGGCAGCCACUACUGAUGACUGACUUACUGUCUCCAGAAUUUAGGGAGGUAUUUAACUCCAGUGAGACACAGAAACAAGUUGUGCUAGAGAACAAGAGGAGCCGUGGAUGCACCACCUCUAGAGAUGCUUGAAGCCAAGUUGUAUGGGGUCAAACUAGUCUGGUGGGUAUCACUGUCUAAAGCAAGGGGGUUGGAAGAAGAUGAAUUUUAAAUAUUUCCAACCCAAACCAUUCCAUGGCUCUGUGAUUUUACAAUUUUAUAAUGUUAUGAUUAGCUCAUAUGCUUGAAGUGUCUAUAAUGUUCCCCUCUAUAUUUCAGUGAUUGUAUUGAUUACAGCUGCACUGGAUAUAAUGAAAGUGUAGACACACAUGUCAACACUCACUUACUUUCUUAUUUUGUGAAACCACCCCCAUUUUGAAAAACAUUUAGGAAAGUGUCAAAAAGAAUAUAUAUAUGCAUAUAUAUACACACACACAUGCAGAUAUAUUCUUCACACACUACAAUCCCUUGAUAAUAAUACCAGCAAAAUUAAAAAAUAAAUAAAAAAAAAAUUAAA